rnacentral:rRNA from 1 species
GAUGAACGCUGGCGGCGUGCCUAAUACAUGCAAGUCGAGCGAACAGACGAGGAGCUUGCUCCUCUGACGUUAGCGGCGGACGGGUGAGUAACACGUGGAUAACCUACCUAUAAGACUGGGAUAACUUCGGGAAACCGGAGCUAAUACCGGAUAAUAUAUUGAACCGCAUGGUUCAAUAGUGAAAGACGGUUUUGCUGUCACUUAUAGAUGGAUCCGCGCCGCAUUAGCUAGUUGGUAAGGUAACGGCUUACCAAGGCAACGAUGCGUAGCCGACCUGAGAGGGUGACCGGCCACACUGGAACUGAGACACGGUCCAGACUCCUACGGGAGGCAGCAGUAGGGAAUCUUCCGCAAUGGGCGAAAGCCUGACGGAGCAACGCCGCGUGAGUGAUGAAGGUCUUCGGAUCGUAAAACUCUUUUAUUAGGGAAGAACAAAUGUGUAAGUAACUAUGCACGUCUUGACGGUACCUAAUCAGAAAGCCACGGCUAACUACGUG